AAUGAACGCUGGCGGCGCGCCUAAUACAUGCAAGUCGAGCGAGAAGACGUAGCAAUACGUUUGUAAAGCGGCGAACGGGUGAGGAAUACAUGGGUAACCUACCCUCGAGUGGGGAAUAACUAGCCGAAAGGUUAGCUAAUACCGCGUACGCUUCUUGGACUUCGGUUCAGGGAGGAAAGCGAUACCGUGGGUAUCGCGCUCUUGGAUGGGCUCAUGUCCUAUCAGCUUGUUGGUGAGGUAACGGCUCACCAAGGCUUCGACGGGUAGCUGGUCUGAGAGGACGAUCAGCCACACUGGCACUGCGACACGGGCCAGACUCCUACGGGAGGCAGCAGUAAGGAAUAUUGCGCAAUGGGCGAAAGCCUGACGCAACGACGCCGCGUGGGGGAUGAAGGUCUUCGGAUUGUAAACCCCUUUCGGGAGGGAAGAUGGAAUGGGGUAACCCAUUCGGACGGUACCUCCAGAAGCAGCCACGGCUAACUUCGUGCCAGCAGCCGCCGCCG
rnacentral:rRNA from 1 species